CCAAGAUCUCUCUUCCUUCCUCCUCCUCCUCCUUCUCCUCCAGUCGUCUCCUCCGGCCAGCGCGAGCGAGCGAGCUUGAGAGAGGUUGGUACCCUGCAGGUAGGCAUGGACGGCCACCGCUGCGGGGCGCGCCGAAUUCUGGCGCUCGAGGCGGCGUUCAAGAAAUGCCCCCACCCCGACGAGACCCAGGUCGCUAAUCUCAGCCGCGAAACCGGCCUGACUCCCCAGCAGAUUAAAUACUGGUUCCAGACCCGGCGGGCGCAGAUCAAGGGAUCUUCGUCGAACAUGAGGCCUCCGACCCAGGGAUCUUCAUCGUCGGAUCCUUGAUGCUCUCAUCGACAACUUCGGGGAGGCUGAUGGUGGCUGAUGUUCCUCACUAUCGUGGUCUUCCUCAGCUUAGUGUUUGUGUGUGUUUCGGCUUGUUAGCCAAGGACCCCCUUCGGAUUUGUAUCGUGUGUGUGUGUGUGUUGGCUCUUGAGCAUUGAGCCCGCCUGGAACCUAAUGGGUUUGUAU